GACAGAGGGGGCAAGCGUUGCUCGGAAUUACUGGGCGUAAAGGGCGCGUAGGCGGGAUGGCAAGUCGGUCGUGAAAUCCCUCGGCUCAACCGAGGAACGUCGAUCGAUACUGCUGUUCUUGAGGAUUGCAGAGGAGACUGGAAUUCCACGUGUAGCGGUGAAAUGCGUAGAUAUGUGGAGGAACACCUGUGGCGAAGGCGCCUUGCUGGCCAAUUUCUGACGCUGAGGCGCGAAAGCGUGGGGAGCAAACAGG
rnacentral:rRNA from 1 species